AAGUCGUAACAAGGUUUCCGUAGGUGAACCUGCGGAAGGAUCAUUACAGAGUUCAUGCCCUAACGGGUAGAUCUCCCACCCUUGAAAUUCGUACCUUUGUUGCUUUGGUGGGCCGCGGCCUUCGCUACCGGCUCCGGCUGGUAUGUGCCCGCCAGAGGACCCAACUCUUGUUUUUAGUGAUGUCUGAGUACUAUAUAAUAGUUAAAACUUUCAACAACGGAUCUCUUGGUUCUG
rnacentral:misc_RNA from 1 species